rnacentral:misc_RNA from 1 species
CUAGUUAGCUAACUAG